rnacentral:rRNA from 1 species
AUACGGAGGGUGCAAGCGUUAUCCGGAUUCACUGGGUUUAAAGGGUGCGUAGGUGGGUUGGUAAGUCAGUGGUGAAAUCUCCGAGCUUAACUUGGAAACUGCCAUUGAUACUAUCAGUCUUGAAUAUUGUGGAGGUCAGCGGAAUAUGUCAUGUAGCGGUGAAAUGCUUAGAUAUGACAUAGAACACCAAUUGCGAAGGCAGCUGGCUACGCAUAUAUUGACACUGAGGCACGAAAGCGUGGGGAUCAAACAGGAUUAGAUACCCUGGUAGUCCACGCCCUAAACUAUGGAUACUCGACGUGCGCGAUACACUGUGCGCGUCUGAGCGAAAGCAUUAAGUAUCCCACCUGGGAAGUACGAUCGCAAGAUUGAA